ACCACUCUGUAACUUAUUCAUUCUUUUUGUAACUAUCAUGGGAGAACAUGGCCACAACUCGUAAUAUAUAAUUGUAAGUGGACAACAUUGUAUUACUGAACCAUUUUUCUUGAAACAUGAAUACAUAUAGACCGUCAAGGCCUCUGACAUACUGUACAAAAUGAACCUCUGUCUACAAAGCCUCUAAGAUUGUUCGAUAUCAAAUGGGAUCGGGUACCGGCCUACCCGUAAGUCUGUAGAAAUAUUCUAACACGAUGACUUAUAGACUCAGCUGCACUCCGAAUGAGGUGGAGUCUUACCGAUCCUUCGCUGAAUGCAAACCUCAUCUACUGUGAGGGCUCAUCAAUCUAAUUUUCUAUACCUGCAGGCAUGAAUGCAAUGUCCCCAACAAAAGAACGUCAGUACGAAUAAUGUACUGAGCAUGUAAGGGAGAACUGAAACAUAACAAUAAGUUAAUAUUUAUUUAAAUACAUAUAAGAAUUAACCUGUAAGUUUGGAUAACUCUCUAAAUCAUGAAAUACUUAUAGUGUCAUGGAUAUGCAUAUUAAUGUCAUGUCGUGCAUGAUUACAUGUGCUCAUAACAUCAUUAAGCCUCUGAGGGUAUCCCAUCAAAUCAUAUCGGCCACUAUGGGCAAAUCAUCAACGUAUACCAGAUGAUCAGGUGGUGGUGCGUAUAUAACGACGUAACCAUUUUCCCAUAUCCCAUAUACAUAUAUUUACAUAUAUACGCGUAUAUAACUCCAUCUAGUGCCACUGUGGGCAAAAUCAUCAUCGUAUACCAAUUAAUCAGGUGGUGGUGCGUAUAUAAUGUCGUAACCUUUUUCCAUAUCACAUAUACAUAUAUACACAUAUAUACACGUAUAUAACGCCGUUCGAGUCAUGGGUAAAUGUAUAUGUAAAUGAAUGCAAGGCAUGAGAAGUACAUUAAAAAAACUUCUCGGAACAUCAUAAGACCAUUAUACCUUCGAGUAAUUGUGACGACCCGGCCAGUCGUCUUAAGAAUUUAUGCCCUGAUCCCCCAUUAACUGCUUUUUCCACGCUUAUUUCUGCUAUUUUUAUUUACCGGGAUGUUCGGUUUUGAGUUUCGGAGAGUUUUGGGACACUUAGUCCCUAAACGAGAACUUAAGUGUUGGAAAGUUGACCGUAGUCGGAAUAGUGUGAAGACGGCCUCGGAAUGGAAAUAUGAUGGUUCUGCUAGCUACUUUGGGUAAUUUUGGGCUUAGGGGCGUGUUCGGAUUGUAUUUUGGAGGUCUGUAGCUAAUUUAGGCUUGAAAUGCCGAAAGUUGAAUUUUUGAAGUUUCGGGUUCGAUAGUGAGAUUUUUAUCCGAGGGUUGGAAUGGAAUUCCGGAAGUUGGAGUAGCUCUGUAGUGUUUAAUGUGACGUGUGUGCAAAAUUUCAGGUCAUUCAGACGAGGUUUGAUAGAUUUUUUAUCGAAAGCGUGUUUUUAGAGUUUUUGGAAUUCUUAGACUUGAAUCCUAUAAAAAGAAUAGGUGUUUUGAUGUUGUUUUUAGCGUUCCAAAGGUUGGAACAAGUUUGAAUGAUGUUUUAUGAUUGGUUAGCAGGUUUGGUUGAGGUCCCGGGGGCCUCGGGUGUGUUUCGGAUGCCCAACGGGUCAUUUUGGAACUUGUUGGAACUGUAGAACUACUAGUAUCUGGUUUCCUUAAUCGCAUUCGCGCCCUUCCCUCCGCGUUCGCAUAGUGUAAUUUCGGAGGAUGAUUUAAUUAUUCUUUACGAUCGCAUGUUUUGGCUCACGAUCGCGGAAGUCUUCCCCCUCCUCUUUUGCGUUUGCAUCCCUCCAUUCGCGUUCGCGUAGUAGAACUAGGAACCGAGGGUACUGUGACCAUUUCCCCUUCACGUUCGCAUUGUCCCGUCUGCGAACGCGUGCGCCUAACCUUUUUUCUUCCACGUUCACGUGCUUCAUCACGCAUUCGCAUAGCCCAGUUCAGGAGCCAUCAGAUUUUCCUCUUCCCGUUCACACAUCAUUUUACGCGAUCGCGAUGUACAAACAUCUGGGCAGAAUAUAAAAAUUUCAAAAUCGAGGGUUUAGCCAUUUUUAUCAAAACAUAAGCUUGAGAGCUCGGAUUUGAGCGAGAUUUUGAGGAAUUUUCAGAGAUAUCAAUUGGGUAACGAUUCUUAACUCCUUUUUGCUUGUAACCCAUUAAUCUAAAUAUGAAUUCAUCAUUGAAUUUCGGAUUGGAGAUGAAAAUUGGGGAAAAAUUGGAAGAAAGUUCUUAGGCCUAGAAUUUGACUUUUGAUUGGGAAUUUGACCUUGGAUUUGGAUAAUUUUGGUAUGCAUGAACUCGUGAGAGCGUGACGAUUCUGAAAAUAUAAAUUUUACCCGAUUCCAAGACGUGGGCCCGAGGGACGUUUUGAUCAUUUUACCUAAUUUCGUGUAUUAGCUUAGAAUUUAUUUGUACGAUCAGUUACAUGAAGUGUUAUUUACGUUAUGAAAUUGAAUUGAAUAGAUUUGGGUCAUUUGGAGUCGAGUACUCGUGGCAAGAGCGUGGUUUCGGGUUGAUUUUGAGCUGGUUCGAGGUAAGUGGCUUGUCUAACCUUGUGUGGAGGACCUUCCCCUUAGGAUUUGGUAUAUUUGGUAAUUGAAAUGCCUGCACAUAAGGUGAUGAGUGCGUACUUGUGCUAAUUGUUGGAAAUCCGAUUUUCCUUGAGUAAUUACUAGUAUUUGUCCUUUCCUGUUUUUAUUACUCGCAUUAUUAAGCAUGUUGUUAGUGAGUUGGACUACGGGACGACACUCAGGAGAUCCACUGGACAUUUACAUUUGGGGGCUACAGGACAGUAUCCAGGUAGAUCCCCGGUUGCUAUCUUUGUGUUGAGUUGUGUUCCCUCGGUGAGUAUUUUGCCUCUGUUCUAGUUGUUGUUGCUCUUUCUAUUCUAUGUUAUUUCUUACUUUUGCACUUAAUUAUACUGUCUUGUUCUACACUGUUAUACUUUGUAUUUUAUUUUACCUCAGUAGGGCCUUGACCUUCCUCGUCACUACCCGACCGAGGUUAGGCUUGGCACUUACUGAGUACUGUUAUGGUGUACUCAUGCCCCUUUCUGCGCAUGUUUUUCAUGUGCAGAUCCAGGUACUUUCACUUGGUCUUAUUAUCCUUGAGGCGAGGCACUUCUGUAGAGACUUCGAGGUAUAUCUGCCACGUCCGCAGACCUCUUGGAAGUAUAUUGGUUUGAGAGUCAACUAUUGUGUAUGUCGAGCGGCACUUUUAAACACUAUUUUAUCGUUCUUCAUUAUGUUUUAAAUUGUUUUUAUUCCGCACUUGGUUUAUCUUUCGCAAUUUAGGCUUACCUAGUCGUAGAGGACUAGGUGCCGUCACGAGGGUUCACGGAGGGCGAACCGGGGUCGUGACAGUAAUAUCAUUUUACAGGAAUGAAUAACGUAGACAUCCUUAACUGCUAAGAAUAGAAACACUUAUGAAAUAGCAUUAUGUUUACGUAUCGUUACUUGGAUCAUGCCAAAAUGAAGGAAAGGGCUUAGCCUUAACAAACCUGAGUUGAUUCUCUUGACAAUCCUCUAAUACACAUUAAUUGCGACAAAAUACGUAACAAGUCGUAUGAAAAGCUUGAAGCAAUCACAUUGCUAUGCAAAGAAAAUCUUUGCUAUCAAGUAAAUUUUAGGAUGAUCAAUGCAAAGCAAAGGAGAAAAAUGGCUAGUCUUCUGUUAUUUUAUUUCAGAAGGCCAACAAAUUAAGAAUCAACAGAACUAUGAUCUACCAAGCACGAUUGAAACUUAAUUCUAGUGACAGACACAAAUAUAGAAAGGUAUUGCAUUCUUAGAAAUUUUGACUAAGCGUUGGUGAGUUUAAACAAAGUAUUAUUGAAUAAUUGAGCCAAUCUAUCCUCUAGAAUUGAGUUCUUAUAUCAACACACAAUUGUGAAUAUGACGGAAAAGGAAGAUGGCUCUUUUGCUAGCUGAGGAGACACUCAAGAGUUCAUUGUAUUUUCUUGCUAUCAAGAAAACAAAGACUAAUGGAAACUAAUAAUAAUAUUCUUUAUCAAAAUUAAAAAAAAAUAGAAAAGCGAGGAGAAAGACAAUGACUUAGACAACCUACUGUAAAAUUCAUAUACUCCUUUAAUCAUCUCUAUUUUCAGGAAUUUCUUAUCAUUUUUCUGCAAUACUGUGCUCGAUAAAACUUGUCAUGUAGAUGUAGAUAAAAAGUUUAUUAUGUCAACAUCUACUCCCUUAACUUACCGUAGCAGAUUAUCUUUCCAUAUAUUGCUGGCCUGUCCAUAAUUCUUUAUGGAUCUCUAGUGAUGCAAAAAGCAGCAGCAUAACCAUGAAAAGUGAAGUUAAGGGCCAUUAUGAUAAGCAAUCACUUACGGCUAAAGUAGCUAAUUACUACGUCAUGUGUACCUUUUUUUAAUGCAGGUGGAAUUAUUUAAAAGAAAAAUUAAAGGUAAGAAUAAAGGUUUCUCAACCAAAUAACCUAUCUUAUGUUCAUUGAUCAAAGAUAGACAAAGAUGUAACAAAAGAAUUCUUACUGCGCAGGCUCGGAAGAGUGAAUGUUGCCAAACCAAAAUCAAACCGUGCACCUUUUCCUUAGGCUCCCUGUGUAAAACAGGAAGUGAAGUAGAUAGUCUUCAUUCUUUAUCUGGCGCAACCCUAUAUCUCUUGGCCAAGAAAGCUCCUCAGUUUAUUAUCAAAUAUAGUUCCAAGUAUCUGGACUCUAAGAAACUAAAACUGAACCCCGAAGCAGGGAGAAGCAACUAUUGUUAUUCGGAAAGUGAAUUAAUAUUGGUGCGCGAAUUGAAAUGUUUCUAUGUAAAGCUUGGAUUGUAAAGUUUCUAUGUAAAGCUUGAAUUGUAAAGAACUUAAAAAU
rnacentral:lncRNA from 1 species